CGCGGGGUAGAGCAGCUCGGUAGCUCGUUGGGCUCAUAACCCAGAGGUCGCAGGUUCAAAUCCUGUCCCCGCUA
rnacentral:tRNA from 1 species